rnacentral:snRNA from 1 species
AUAGAUUCUCGGCCUUUUGGCUAAGAUCAAGUGUAGUAUCUGUUCUUAUCCGUUUAAAAUAAUAAUAAUAAUAAGGGCACCUGGGUGACUCAGUCAGCCAAAUGCUGAUUCUUCAUUUCAGCUCAGGUCAUGAUCAUACGGUUCGUGGGUUUGAGCCCCCCUUCAGGCUCUGUGCUGAUAGUGCAGAGCCUGCUUGGGAUUCUCU